CUGAGUCGAGGGGGCGGGCCGCUAUCAGUCCUUCUCCGACUAGCGUCGUGUGUAGGUCUGUGAACUUCCUCUGCUCUUUGUUCCGAGUCGCUUCAUCCUUGAACAAACGAAUUUCGUCGGCAAGCAGUUUGAUUUGCUCUCUAAUUUUUUUCAGAGCAGUUGUCUUUUCCAAUUCAUCUCUCUUUUUGUUACAGAGUCUCGCUAACUGAAUAAAGAUCAAUCUCUCUAACCUCCACUUCAAAAACAUCUUGUUCCUUUGGUUCAGAUUGCUAUCCUCUUCCUCCUCCUCUGCCUUCUUCCUGCCUUUACCUUUCGGCAUUUUUUCUAUCUUUUUCUAUCUGUAGAGUAACUAAAACUAGCGACCAAUCGCUGUUUAGAAAGAAACAAAUAGACGCCUCCCACGGAGCUCGGUAUGCCAACAACAGAUGAUGGCACACUUUUUCCUUCUUCGAUUAAAAACAAUAUAUGUGAUUCCUCGGCGGGGAUCAAAACAAUAUCUGAUUCCUCGGCGGGAUCAAAACAACAUAGCACAAACAAAAACUCUAGCGAUUCAUGUAACCUCACCAGUGAAUUCAAUACAAAUACGGUUUCACUCCUUGUCCAACAAGUCGUAAAACAAAAGCCCUGAGCAAACCAGACGUCUUAAGUUAUAUUCAGGACACGUAUCAACAUUGACAAACUAGCAAAGAUGAACAAAUCACUUGAAUGACAUGCUAUUACAAUAUUCUAGGACUCAAUCCCAGCUCAAAGGCCUUAUUCAACAAACAAUAUUCUAGGACUCAAACCCAGACCAAAGGCCUUAUUCAACAAACAAUAUUCUAGGACUCAAUCCCAGACCAAAGGCCUUAUUCAACAAACAAUAUUCUAGGACUCAAACCCAGACCAAAGGCCUUAUUCAACAAACAAUCAAUAGUUUCAUAUGGCGUAUAUUCAGUGAUUAUUACACAAACUCUUAAUCACUAAUACAGGUCCUCACUUCGUCAAGCUCUUAAUGACACAACUUCAUUACUCAGCAAAUGUAGUGCAGCCUAAUAGUAAAACAAAUAAUAAUAAUCACAGUUAUGUGUGUGUAGAUUAUUUUAAGAUUACUUUCUUGUUCUUUUCUCUUGGUCGAGAGUGUGGAAUGAGAUUCAGUCACCGUUGAUUCCCAC
ensembl:lncRNA